GACAGAGGAUGCAAGCGUUGUCCGGAAUUACUGGGCGUAAAGAGCUUGUAGGUGGUUUGUCGCGUUGUUCGUGAAAUCUCACGGCUUAACUGUGAGCGUGCGGGCGAUACGGGCAGACUAGAGUACUGCAGGGGAGACUGGAAUUCCUGGUGUAGCGGUGGAAUGCGCAGAUAUCAGGAGGAACACCGGUGGCGAAGGCGGGUCUCUGGGCAGUAACUGACGCUGAGAAGCGAAAGCGUGGGGAGCGAACAGG
rnacentral:rRNA from 1 species